rnacentral:rRNA from 1 species
GAUGAACGCUGGCGGCGUGCCUAAUACAUGCAAGUCGAGCGAUCAGAUGAGGAGCUUGCGCUUCUGACGUUAGCGGCGGACGGGUGAGUAACACAUGGAUAACCUACCUAGUAGACGGGGAUAACUUCGGGAAAAGAGAGCUAAUACCGGAUAACACAUUAGACCGCAUGGCUAAAUUAUGAAAGGCGCUUUUGCUGUUAGAAAAAGAUGGCCCCCCGUCGCUUUAUCUAGUUGGUAAGGUAACGGCGUACCAAGGCGACGACGCGAAGCCGACCUGAGGGGGGGAUCGGCCACACUGGAACUGGGACACGCUCCAGACUCCUACGGGAGGCCGCAGUCGGGAAUCUCCGGAAAAGGGCGAAAGCCUGACGGAGCAACGCCGCGUGAGUGAUGAAGGUCUUCGGAUCGUAAGCCUCUGUUAUAAGGAAAGAACAAAUGUGUAGGUAAAUAUGCACGUCUUGACGGUACCUAAUCAGAAAGCAACGGCUAACUACGUG